AUGAACGCUGGCGGCGUGCCUAAUACAUGCAAGUCGAGCGAACGGACGAGAAGCUUGCUUUUCUGAUGUUAGCGGCGGACGGGUGAGUAACACGUGGAUAACCUACCUAUAAGACUGGGAUAACUUCGGGAAACCGGAGCUAAUACCGGAUAAUAUUUUGAACCGCAUGGUUCAAAAGUGAAAGACGGUCUUGCUGUCACUUAUAGAUGGAUCCGCGCUGCAUUAGCUAGUUGGUAAGGUAACGGCUUACCAAGGCAACGAUGCAUAGCCGACCUGAGAGGGUGACCGGCCACACUGGAACUGAGACACGGUCCAGACUCCUACGGGAGGCAGCAGUAGGGAAUCUUCCGCAAUGGGCGAAAGCCUGACGGGGCAACGCCGCGUGAGUGAUGAAGGUCUUCGGAUCGUAAAACUCUGUUAUUAGGGAAGAACAUAUGUGUAAGUAACUGUGCACAUCUUGACGGUACCUAAUCAGAAAGCCACGGCUAACUACGUG
rnacentral:rRNA from 1 species